GGAGGUAUAGCUCAGUGGCAGAGCGCAUGCUUGGCGUGCAUUGAGGUCCUGGGUUCAAUCCCCAGUAUCUCCA
rfam:Camelus ferus unplaced genomic scaffold scaffold1397, whole genome shotgun sequence.